ensembl:misc_RNA 7SK 7SK RNA
GGAUGUGAGGGAGAUCAUCACCAGGUUGAUUUGGCUGAUCUGGCUGGCUAGGCAAGGCCGGGCUUGAACCUGCCAGCCUUGGUGCAUGUGGCUGGCACUGUAACCCUUCCUCUCUCACUUCUCCGUGUGUGUCCCUCCCGAAGCUGAGCACUUGGUCAAAGAGGACGACCCUCCCUGAUAGAGGAGGACUGUUCUUCCAUCAAGGGUAUGUGAGUAGCUGUGCUCCCCUCCGCUCAAAUAUGCCACCUGCUUCAUGGCAUCUGCAGAAAUCUUGUAAUUUAUUGAUCUUUCCCAUGCUCAUCUCUUGGUUGUAAGUAUUUAAAG